CAAUAGAUGAAUUCCAUUUUCCUUCCUCAUUCAUUGGAGAGCUCUCUUUGGGCUUUCCGAAAAGGUAUGACAUUUCAAGUUUGGCCUCAUGGUCUCAAAGUUAUAAAGUCAUACAUUUUUCACAAA
rnacentral:sRNA from 1 species